CGAAUGUCCAGAUAACAAAAAAGUAGGGCACUAGAAAUUUCCCACAAUGCAUCUUGAAAAGUAGUGAGCAUCGAUGCUCCCUAGACGGCUCGAUAUUACCCAUCGUGCAUUGCGAGUCUCCAGCAAAAUGACGUAAGAGCAGCCUCUCAGCAGCAGCGCGAGCCGGGAGCCGGAGCUGUGACACAUAAAUGGACAGACGAGGACGUGGAGCGGCUGGUGCGGCUCCGGUGCUGUAGUAGCCUCUUCAGUGGGAAGAGAUUGGCCUCGGCCGCCGGCUGGGAUGACUCCCCGCUCUGCUGGCCCUGGUCGUCCUGCUCCUGGUGGACAGCCUCUGUCUCUGGCUCCUGGUGGACAGCCUCUGUCUCUG